rnacentral:rRNA from 1 species
UGUGUAGGCGGUUCUCUAAGUUUGGUGUGAAAUCUCCCGGCUCAACUGGGAGGGUGCGCCGAAAACUGGAGGGCUAGAGUGCGGGAUGGGAAAGUGGAAUUCCUGGUGUAGCGGUGAAAUGCGUAGAUAUCAGGAGGAACACCUGUGGUGUAGACGGCUUUCUGGACCGCAACUGACGCUGAGACACGAAAGCGUGGGUAGCAAACAGGAUUAGAUACCCUGGUAGUCCACGCCCUAAACGAUGCAUAUUUGGUGUGGGCCAUUCAUUUGGUCCGUGCCGGAGCUAACGCGUUAAAUAUGCCGCCUGGGGAGUACGGUCGCAAGGCUGAA